UAGGGAAUCUUCGGCAAUGGACGAAAGUCUGACCGAGCAACGCCGCGUGAGUGAAGAAGGUUUUCGGAUCGUAAAACUCUGUUGUUAGAGAAGAACAAGUGGGAGAGUAACUGUUCCCACCUUGACGGUAUCUAACCAGAAAGCCACGGCUAACUACGUGCCAGCAGCCGCGGUAAUACGUAGGUGGCAAGCGUUGUCCGGAUUUAUUGGGCGUAAAGCGAGCGCAGGCGGUUUCUUAAGUCUGAUGUGAAAGCCCUCGGCUCAACCGAGGAAGGUCAUUGGAAACUGGGGAACUUGAAUGCAGAAGAGGAGAGUGGAAUUCCAUGUGUAGCGGUGAAAUGCGUAGAUAUAUGGAGGAACACCAGUGGCGAAGGCGACUCUCUGGUCUGUAAUUGACGCUGAGGCUCGAAAGCGUGGGGAGCAAACAGG
rnacentral:rRNA from 3 species